rnacentral:lncRNA from 1 species
UAUGGUAGUUUUAGAUUUGAUCUAUGCAUGCAUUAUAAAUUAAAUUAUUUAAUCUAUUUAUAUUCUGCUGUAAAAUUUUAAAAAUAUAUGUAUAAAACCACCAUGCUUCCCUUCACCUGGACCUCUUUUUAUAGCCUUCAUAGCCCCUCAAAGUUAUAAACAUAAUCCAUCUCUUGAUUCCUUACGUAUUAGGACUCCUGGCUUUGUUAAACUUCUCCAUC